UUUUUCUUUUCCCACCAGCAUGUUGAAUCAUCCAUUUGUCUGGUAACUUGAGACAGCCGGUAGAGGAGUCACAAGAGUAGGUACCUUUCCAUGAGCUCACCUCUGUUCCACUCCCAUCUCAUAAAGGGUGUGACAGAUACUUCACAGAAGGCAAGGAGAAAACAGGUCAGAAGUAUGUUAUUGGGGGCUUAGCACUGAUUUUGGUUCUGACAAGCUGGCCACUCAGAGACAGCAGUAGCUAUGUCUGUCUCAGUAUGUGGUAGACCAUGCUGUUGGGCCCAUAUAUAUAUAGCCUCCAUGCCUGCCACUGGGGCUACUUCAUUCACGUACCCACUGUGUCAGUUCUGGGAUGACUAAAAUCAACUGGGUCAUCAUGAGUGAAGUCUUGAGCCACUGAGCCACUACCACCUUGUGCCAAAUACUAUCUGUGCCCUGCCUGCCAACCAGGAUGACAACCCUUCACCUGCCAGGUGGAGAGAGACAGCAGCAGGCUAACUAGUUGUCUGUUAAGAACAUCCAGAGCAGGACCAGAAUCUGGGCCAGGAACUGAGAGACAGAUUGGGACAACGGAACAAAUCUACCAGGGUAUGCUGGCCAACUUAGUCUUCUAUUAUGAUCAAGGAAGGAUGGCGCCUGAGAGGUCAUUACUAUGUGACUGGUCUUCAUAUAUUGCUUCUAUGUUUGAUUCUUCCUCCAGAAAUGUUUCAAUAGCAAACUCAAUGAGUUUACGUAGCCAGAAUCUUAGUCAAUAACCUACUCUGCAGUAUCUUAGGGCUGACUUUGUACAUAUGGAAGUCAGCCAGAUCUCAUGAGUGGAUCAUUAAGCUAGAAUUAUUUUCUUGGCACACGUUACAGUAAGGUAAUAUAUGACCUAGGCCUAAGGCAGGCCAUCAACCUGUCAAGAGUAAUGACCCCCAGGGGUAAGGCCUUGCUGUCUCCACCUCAAGGAUGGGUCUUCAAAGUGGAGACAAUAUAGUCCCUAUGGUUUCUACAUGCUUAAUGAGUCUGUUAUGUGAAUUAUAAAGAUAAUAUCUAUGGGGACUUUGAGCUCCUACAAUAAAAAUGUAUAAAUAUAAUCCAAGAAAUUCUGGUAGACAAACAUUGUAAUAAUGCAUAUCAGUCUUUGUAUCUCCAUUUAGUUUUUUUAAAACUUGGCUUGUGUCCAGAAGUAUGCACAGAUAUACAUAGCAAAUGCUCAGUGCUGAAUGUUUAGCUAAAUCCUGUGCUUCAAAGCAAGGAUGAAUAGAUUUUCAUCAGAGCUCAGGACCUGAACUGUAGGCUUCCCUCACAAUGAGAAGUAAAGCUAAGUAUAGGUGAAUCCUGAGUGGCACAUAUUCUAUGAGAGUUUUAUACAUAAUUUGAAUGAUUGAUAUGCUGCAUCUUUCAUUGAAAUGAUUGUCAACCAAUAUUAUUUCAAGUGUUAUUUCCAUGCUAUUUCUAGUUCUGUAUGUUUUACGUAAUUAUAAAUGGCUUCAUAUUUUCAUGUAACAUUGUAUGAUAUGAUUUGGGUUCUAACAGGUUAUCCUUGACACCAGUAUAGAAUACCCAGAAUUAAUUUAAGGUAUAUUAUCAAACCACUAAAAUUAGGAUGUCCAUGAAUUCUGAAGGAGAAAAUAUCAUUUAGAUUGUGUGUGUGUGUGUGUGUGUGUGCGCGUGUGUGUGUGUCCUCUAAGUUUUAAACAUGAGGUGGUUAUAUAAAGGGGACUUCUAAAUUGGGAGAGGAUGAAAAUGGGCUAAAUAUUUCAAACAAACUUCAGUGUGAAAUCAGUAGUAUAUUCAGUAGAGGUGACAGGGAAAAAAGCUGUGGAGGAGAAAAGAGAACAAGAAAAUCAGGAAGCAGUAAAAAUGAUGACUGAGGUCAGGUGGUAAUGGUAACAUCAAGAAACUUGAAUCUGAUGGAAAAAAACCACGGGUAGCUAUAAAAGGGGCAUUCGAAAUAGGAAAUGAUGUGAGAGGAGAAGAUAAUUUUAGUAUAGUUAAAGGAGGUAGCAGCUAUAGGUGUGAAGAGAACGGAUUAAUUUUAAAUGUGUCCCAGAAGUAAGAGAAAUAUUUUUUUGAGGAGUGGGGGAGGAACAAUGAGAUAAACCUGGUUGAGUGUUUUAUGGUUAUCUCAAGUAAGAGUCCACUUGGAGUAUUAUGUCCAUUUUUGGACACCAUACUUUCAUAGGCAUGUUGAUGAACCAGGUCAUUCAAGACACCAGGGUAGUGAGAAGUGUGUUAAUAGUGCUUCUACCAGAGAGUUAGAGUGACAUGGCAGCUGUCCUCAUAUCUAUCGAUCUGUCAUAAGGAAGAAAGAUCACAUGCCUCUGCAUUGUUUAAAAGAAAGAAACAGACCCAAAGAAAGUCAGGAGGCAGAUUUUGCUCAAUAUAAUGAUCUAACAAUUAGAUGUGCCCUGUAACAGAGUGCGCUAUUGUAAAGUAAUGUUCUCCCAUCUUUCCAAGUAUUCAAGCAGAGAAUAGUCAAUAAUACAACUAACGACUGGAAGGGUUUCUUUUAUUCUAAGGUACUAUCAGAUGGAGGAACAUGUAGUUUGUGGUCAGUGACCUCAGGUUCUCACAUUCACGGUGCUGCAUCCUGGUUUUCAUUUGGGGACUGUUUUCUGGCACUCCCGCCUGUCUGGAGGUGAGAUAUGCUUGUUAUGACAACCCUUCUGUCACAAUAAAUUGGCUGGUGCAUUCAGUGUCAUCUAUGGCUUUUUACUUCUAUUAAUUCAUUAAUUCCGGGCCCCCAAGCGAAAGUUUCCAAAGGCCUUUUUUCUUCUUUGUUAAUUAUAACAUGAUAUCAAUCAGCACCCAAGCAGAAACUAGAAGAGUAUUCAAACUAGGUAAUUUGAGGAGAGUUUAAUAAAGCAACAGCUUACAAAGAUGUGGACAGUGGCUUAAGGAAGCCACUAAAGGAUGGCACAGUCCUCCAGGCUUGUGAUCAGGGGAGUCAUUACCAUCCCCCAGCCUGAAGAUCAAGAGGCUGGAGCUAUUUCCAGACCCUGAAGAGGGUGGUUGUAUGGAGAGGACUAUCUGAAAGAAGAGGCUGUAGCCAACACAAGAAAGCCAGGGAAUAAAUAAUCCAUCCUCACUCUCCUGCUGUUGCCUCUCAAUGGCCAAACCCAACCAUGAGCUGGGCAUGAAGGGAGCUAGCUGACAGCUAUAUGGCUCAGCUUCCUGGGGCCCAGAGCAGAGUGGAGCUGAGAAGAGAGUGAAUCUGGAGGGGUUAAUGGAAGAAACCACAGAAAGCAAAUUCCUCCCUGAGAUACAGUUGGUGCUUAGGCAAUAUUUGUACUGACAGGAAUGUGGCCACAUAUUUUGGAAAAGCUCAGGGACUCAAUCCUCUGCUAGCUGCUUUGAGGCCAUGUCUGCCGAAGUCACUGUCCUCUACAGGGUUUUUUCCUCAUGUUCAGUGUUUAGUCCUUUCCACCUUCACGAAAACGAUGCCUACUUAAUAUACAGAAAGGAGGACAUACAGAAAUUUUUCAUCUUAAUUGGAUAUUACAGUUGCCCCACUUUGGAGCCAAGAAGAGCUGAAUAAAGCUGAGAAACACCUAAACAGAAAGGAGCUCUGGAGGGAAGCAUUAGAUAUGGCUCUUAACCUCAGGGGGCUUACAGUCCAAUCAGGAGACCCAAUGCAAAUGGAACAAUGAAUCAAGAUACUAUCUAACAGGACUAGACCAUGCCAGUAAGUGCUGUAGGAGUUUAAAGAUGAAGUAGCUCUUUGAGGCUGCAGUAGUCUGUUGAUGGUGCUUCUCUCAGGAGGUCCCAGGAGGGGUGACUGUUCUUUCUGGAACAUGGUCAUGGGAAAAUCCCUCAUACCUACUUUAAGCCAGUAAAAGAGAAUGUCCAGAAAGGCCAGGUAUUUGGAAUUGGACCUAAGUGACAGGCUUCAUAUACAAAUAUGCAUUGGUUUACGGACAAUUGUAUAGUUUUUUUCUUCACUGCCACCUAAACCAUCAUUAUCAGCACUUGAGUCCUCUGUGACCAUCACUGCUGUCCAUGGGCAGUAUGCACAAGUGGAACAAAGCCAACGCCUCAACUGUGAGACAGUUUGUCUCUUAGGGUUAGGGAAGAUGAGGGCUAAGGGUGGAGGGAGAAGGUACAGCAUGGCGAAGCUCAUCAUAGAUCCCUUGGAACACUAUUCCUACUGAUUUGUUACUCCCUUUUCUCCCUCCAUGCUUUGUCUUUCCCUGUUACACACACACUGUUAUUCUUCAUCUGUCCGCAGCCCAGUCAUUGGAACUUGGAUGUAAGUGGCUUCUACAACCAAGUGAGGCAGAGAAAUGGGCAGCAGUGAUGACUCUAUAAAGACUUUUGUCCUUUCAUUCAUUCAAGGUGGUGUACAACCCAAAGAUGAACACAUGACCCUUGUCCUCAAGCAGCUCAAUCUGUGAAAACUAUCAUAUGAGUUAAUGUGGUAACAGAAGCAUGCGCACAAAGUACUCUGGAACAACAGGCAGGGACCAUUUAGACCUGCUGCAGUGUGUGUGUCUGUGUCUGUUUAUCUAUGUAUUAUAUGCAGGCAGAUUGUGAAAAAAGACAAGUUUCACAGAGGAGAUGAUACAUGAUCUUUUCUAAUUCACUGAAGCAUACAGCUAUCAAAGGCCUGAGGACUCUUGAAAGAUGAGCAAAAUUUCAUCAUGCAGAGAAGGGAAGUGUAAAGACAGGAAACAGCAUGUGAAAGGCAUUCUAUUCUAUUUAAAUCUAGGAAUACUGUCUUUAGGAUGUUCUUGGCUGAUUAAAUCAGAUGCAUCAUCAUAUUAUACUAUCAUGAUUUACCAAUACUGGUUAUUGCCUAGAUUUUAUCCAUGGACUCUCCAUUGGCAUCAUUAGUGAUGAGAGCUGGAAGCUUGAGCACACCCUGCCAUAAAGUUGUUUGUAACAGAAGACAUAGUUUGUACUUUGUUUUCUCUGUUUCAGUUUUGGUUUCCACCUCUAAUUUGAUAUAUACCAGUUAUUAAUCUGGUUGAUUUGCUACAAAUGAAAAGUUUAAAAAAUUAAUGACAAUCUAUACAAAACUCACAUAAAACCAUUUGAGUCUCCCACUAGAUGGCACAGGAAGAAUAUGGCAUAUCACCUAAUUCUCAGGCUAGGCUAGAUAGAAAAUGUCUAUUCCUAUGAUCACAUGACUCUGACUACUUUCUCUUAAAAGUAAAUAUAAAUAACAUCUCUGUAAUUUUAUUUUUUCUUUAACAAUAAU
rnacentral:lncRNA from 10 species